rnacentral:rRNA from 1 species
GAUGAACGCUGGCGGCGUGCCUAAUACAUGCAAGUCGAGCGAACAGAUGAGGAGCUUGCUCCUCUGACGUUAGCGGCGGACGGGUGAGUAACACGUGGAUAACCUACCUAUAAGACUGGGAUAACUUCGGGAAACCGGAGCUAAUACCGGAUAAUAUAUUGAACCGCAUGGUUCAAUAGUGAAAGACGGUUUUGCUGUCACUUAUAGAUGGAUCCGCGCCGCAUUAGCUAGUUGAUAAGGUAACGGCUUACCAAGGCAACGAUGCGUAGCCGACCUGAGAGGGUGAUCGGCCACACUGGAACUGAGACACGGUCCAGACUCCUACGGGAGGCAGCAGUAGGGAAUCUUCCGCAAUGGGCGAAAGCUUGACGGAGCAACGCCGCGUGAGUGAUGAAGGUCUUCGGAUCGUAAAACUCUGUUAUUAGGGAAGAACAAAUGUGUAAGUAACUAUGCACGUCUUGACGGUACCUAAUCAGAAAGCCACGGCUAACUACGUG